rnacentral:rRNA from 1 species
UGCCUGGCGGCCUUAGCGCGGUGGUCCCACCUGACCCCAUGCCGAACUCAGAAGUGAAACGCUGUAGCGCCGAUGGUAGUGUGGGGUCUCCCCAUGCGAGAGUAGGGAACUGCCAGGCAU